AUUUAAUGAGCACAGUUGCGGAAGCUCACCCAAGGCAUAUGGAAUUUCCGUCAACUCGUUUCCACUGAGAUCAAGAGAUACAAGGGACUGUAAUGAAAGAAAUACAUUUUUUGGAAUGCUUUUUAAUUUACAGGAGGAGCAACGUAGAUAAAGGAGUUGACUCCAAGACGAGGAAGACAGUAUAGCAUCUUUUUCCAUUAAAGAACUAGAGCUAUUCGCGGAUUGGUUUUCCGUACCACCAGAAGAAGAGGCAUUCCCAUCUUUUGAAAGAACGAGUACAGAUUGCGAAAGUGUCUUAUGAACGGGUGGAUGCGAAGAUUUAAGAUAAUCUUUGGAUCCCAAAGAUACCGAACGUCUCAAGUUAGCAUGUGCUGGAUGUUGCUCACAAGGUUGUGAGUUUGGCUGUUGAGGGUAAGUUUGCCUAGAAGAGCGAAAACGAUAAAGCUCAGCAUCAUCAAGAACCAGCUUGAUGAGGACUUCAGAUAAAUCGGCUAAAUCACAGUGAUGAAGGAUGAGGCUUUUAAGAGUCGUAGAAAGAAAAUCCCAGCCAAAUAUCGAUCUAAUGUCGUAGCCUCUAAUUUCAAGAGAUGACAGGUUUUUAAAAACAGUGAUGGGAACAGCGGUAUCUAAAGGAAAUUCUUCGUAUUGAGAUAUC